GAUCUGGGCGACGCUCUACACCCUUUGUGACAUACCUAUAACUGUUGCUUCGGCGGGCAGGGUCUCCGUGACCCUCCCGGCCUCCCGCCCCCGGGCGGGUCGGCGCCCGCCGGAGGAUAACCAAACUCUGAUUUAACGACGUUUCUUCUGAGUGGUACAAGCAAAUAAUCAAAACUUUUAACAACGGAUCUCUUGGUUCUGGCAUCGAUGAAGAACGCAGCGAAAUGCGAUAAGUAAUGUGAAUUGCAGAAUUCAGUGAAUCAUCGAAUCUUUGAACGCACAUUGCGCCCGCCAGCAUUCUGGCGGGCAUGCCUGUUCGAGCGUCAUUUCAACCCUCAAGCUCUGCUUGGUGUUGGGGCCCUACAGCUGAUGUAGGCCCUCAAAGGUAGUGGCGGACCCUCCCGGAGCCUCCUUUGCGUAGUAACUUUACGUCUCGCACUGGGAUCCGGAGGGACUCUUGCCGUAAAACCCCCAAUUUUCCAAAGGUUGACCUCGGAUCAGGUAGGAAUACCCGCUGAACUUAAGCAUAUCAAA
rnacentral:rRNA from 1 species